UCGAACGGAUCCUUCGGGAUUAGUGGCGGACGGGUGAGUAACACUGGGAACGUGCCCUUUGGUUCGGAACAACUCAGGGAAACUUGAGCUAAUACCGGAUGUGCCCUUCGGGGGAAAGAUUUAUCGCCAUUGGAGCGGCCCGCGUCUGAUUAGCUAGUUGGUGGGGUAAAGGCCCACCAAGGCGACGAUCAGUAGCUGGUCUGAGAGGAUGAUCAGCCACAUUGGGACUGAGACACGGCCCAA
rnacentral:rRNA from 1 species